rnacentral:rRNA from 1 species
UACGAAGGGGGCUAGCGUUGUUCGGAUUUACUGGGCGUAAAGCGCACGUAGGCGGAUCGUUAAGUCGGGGGUGAAAUCCUGGAGCUCAACUCCAGAACUGCCUUCGAUACUGGCGAUCUUGAGUCCGGAAGAGGUGAGUGGAACUCCUAGUGUAGAGGUGGAAUUCGUAGAUAUCUGGAGGAACACCGGUGGCGAAGGCGGCAUCCUGGACCAUGACUGACGCUGAGGAGCGAAAGCCAGGGGAGCAAACGGG